rnacentral:rRNA from 1 species
AACUCUAUGCCGUAGAUCACUCGGCACCUGUGUCGAUGAAGAACGCAGCCAACUGUGUGAAUUAAUGUGAAUCGGAGACUGCUUUGAACAUCGACCUAUUGAACGCGAAUUGCGGCCGUAGGCUUGCUUCGGCCACGUCUGACCAAGGGUCG